CCAUUCUGCAAACAUUCAGACAUACGGCGAAAUCCGCUUUAGAACCGACGCCAUUUUUCAAUUUAGAUCUGGGCAUCGCGUUUCGAAAUGUAAUCCUAACCUAGAUAAAUGUAUUCAGCAUGUGAAAUAACCUUAAGUGAGAUACGAUGGAUCGUUCAAAACGAUUAUUAGAUAUGGAAGACGUAAGGGAAAGGACACAAACCUAACCUAAAUAUAAUUGAGAUGACAUAGUGGACGCUAAAACGAAUGUACAAUAGAGUAACACUGGAAUAAUAUCUUGCGGAUGGUCUCGCAAUUACAACAAUUGGAAAAUCGCAAUACUUUUUCCUCCAUGUAAUAUUGGUCCGCACGCACGAUCGGUGACUGCGUUCCAUUUUCAUCGUAAUGGAUGGACCCUUUUGGGUCGGUCCAGGCGAACGAGUCCGGUUAAAGGUUUUCUCCUUAAAGGUUUCUGGUCGUGACCGUGUCUGGAUAUCACAACGGGGCUACCAUUGAAAAACUUCUAACGAGUAUAUAUUGUGAAACCGUGCGAGCAGAAGUAAAGCAAGUCGCAAGCCGUUUCAUAAAUGAUGAAAUGCGAACGAAAAUGCUCGGAAGAAUUUCUUCUUCCUUAUUUGAAACGCGGCCAAUAAUUAAUUGUUUGCUCACAUGUAUUGGAAAUCCUCUAAUACGAAUAGCGUGGCAAUUAAAAUUUAAAAAUAAAAUAUUUUAUCAUGUUUAAAUCAUAAAAUAUAACUGCUUUCCACCGUUUGACAUUUAAA